GCCCGUUUAGCUCAGUGGUAGAGCGCAGUCACUCGUAAUGAUGAGGUCGGUUGUUCGAUCCAGCCAGUGGGCA